rnacentral:tRNA from 1 species
GGGCGGGUAGCUCAGUUGGUGAGAGCGCCGGUCUUACACACCGGAAGUCACAGGUUCAAAUCCUGUUCCGCCCACCA